rnacentral:lncRNA from 1 species
AUGUCUGCACAUCUGGAGCACUGCACAGUGCAAGCAGGAGAGGUCCUGUCCCAUGCCAGGAGUGCUUCCACUUCUUCUGUAGGAAGGUGCUGCCAGGAAGAUGUCAACAAAUGGAGAAGACUUCAGACUGGCAGUCAGAGACAAAGGCUGCUGUUAGAGACACGAGGGUAAGGGCUUGUCUGGAGAGUCCCUGCCUGUCAGUGACAUAAGGACUGAAGAAACGCCUAAACAGAGAGGAACAGUGACAAUAGCAAUUUUCUCCUUUUCUCUUCUGCCAGCACCCUUUGAGUAGCCCAGGAGAAGGUUAUUGGGACUCUUAAAUUGCUUCCACUCCAUUUGCCAAGGCAAGAACUUAAGCAGAGUCUUCCUCUGUACUUUUCUUACAUAUAUAUGGGUAUUCAUGGCAAUAACUUGUUAGGGGGGGUGUGUGUGACAGUCAAAGCUCUCUGUAGAAAAGAUGCUGCCAGCAAAAUAAAUUUGCUACCAGAACAAUGAGAAAACUUCA